GUUUAGUUGUUUGCACAAAUGAUAAAAGCACUGACUCGAGAAGAAAAGAAGAGAGAUACAAUCCAUCUGUCCGAGAGAAACAAAUCUCAAGGGCUCGUGGAAACAUUACAGUCGAUAAGAUACAGAGGAAAAUAUCACAAAGACAAACAGCAAUACGAAUCAAAGCAGGAAAAAACAUUAAAUAUACAAAUAGAAGUUGAGAGUCAUGUCAUGGUUGUGUGUGUGUGUGUCAGUUCUGCAUGAAAAACAAGGAAAUUCAUUAAAAAAUGUCUCCUGUGUGGUGAAUUGAAGUAUUUUGAUGCAUUGUCUGUUUUCUUCUCUCAGGUUAUUGCAAUCCAAGAUGUCUGAAGAAGAAGAAGUCGUUGAGGAGAUGCAGGAGGAAGAGGUAGAAACCCAGCAAGAGGAAGAGGAGGCUGCACCUGAAGUAGAAGAACCUCCUCCAGCAGAAGAGCCAGCAGAAGAAGAACCUCCAGCAGAAGAGCCAGCACAUGAAGAGAUUCCACACGUAGAUGAAGAUGACUCUAAACCCAAACCAAAGACAUUUGCUCCACCUAUGUCUGUGCCAAAGAUACCUGAGGGAGAAAAAGUCGACUUUGAUGACAUCCACAGGAAGCGUCAGGAAAAGGAUCUGGCUGAGCUGCAGUCCCUGAUCGAGGCCCACUUCAUUCAGAGGAAGAAGGACGAGGAGGAGCUCAUCGCUCUCGUUAACAGGAUCGAAAAGCGUCGUGCUGAGAGGGCUGAACAGCAGAGGAUCCGUACUGAGCAGGAAAAGGAGAGGCAGGCUCGUCUCGCUGAAGAAAAGGAGAGGAAGGAGCAAGAGGAAGCACGUAGGAAGCAGGAUGAGGAUGCCAAGAAGAAGAAGGCCCUAACAAACAGGACUCAGCAGUAUGGUGGCGUCCAACAGAGGCAAGAUGGCAAAAAGGGAGCAAAGAAGCAGACAGAGAGAGAGAAGAAGAGGAAGAUCCUGGCGGACAGGAGGAAGCCUCUCCAAGUUGACCAUCUCAGUGAGGACAAACUGAAGGAGAAGGCCAAUGAGCUGUGGCAGUGGCUGCUGACACUGGAGGCUGAGAAGUUUGACCUUGGCGAGAGACUGAAAAGACAGAAAUAUGAUAUCAAUGUACUCCAGACCCGAAUCAAUGAGCAGCAGAAGUUGUGAGUAACUGUUAAUGAGGAGUGUGGGCCGCUUGGUUGUUGUGUAGUUUUGCUGCCUGUGUGUUGAAGGGUCACAAACUGAGACUGCGGCAGUACGAACAAAGCCGGGCGACUGCUGAGUGAUUCAAACAGCAGGUGAAACUGGUGGUAUGUGUUGAUGAAGAAGCCAGCAGGAGCUGGCAUGUGGUUGUGUUUAAUCCAGGAAUUCAAGAGAAGUCCCAAGAGUCAGGUAUUACUGUAUGUUCCUAGAUUUAGUCAGUAUGGUGUCCCACUUAAAAGAAACGAGAAAUUUUUGACAUUAAAGGAACAGUUCCACAGGUAGGGAUAUAUAUAUAUAUACGCUUAUUCACUUUUUGGUGAGAGUCAGAUGAAAAGAUCAAUACCACUCUUUUAUGAUUAAGUGGGGUCAAUCUUCUUGUCUAACUUUCUAACUAAGAAAAUAACAAGGGAUCCUUUUAUGUGUCUGCAAGUGUUGGUUAUUUACACUAAGUCCACAAAAGUCUUCAUGAAAAAGCUCACAAUAAUCUGCAAAUUGUCUCCAGUACAUAACUUAAGUUGUGUGUUGUCACUUUCUCUCCAAUGUUUGACAGCCAUAUAUUGAUCUGAAGUCACAUUUUGCUGUCAGGGCAGUAUCUUAUCCUUCAUUUCUGGGUUUAAGCGACAGUUUUGACAGCUUAUGAUGCAAGUGCAACUUAACUUGCAUGAUAAACAUUUCUGAGAUUCUGCAGCUUCCCCUUUAGGAUUCAGUUAUGUGGUCAGGUGAGUCAAGAGGAUGAGAGGUGAGUCCCCAUCUGCAGGUGAAAUUCCUCAUCACAGAUGAAAGCAUCCUUGGGCCAUCCUUCCCUGCUGAGCUCCUCUUUAGGGCCACAAGCUCUGUUCUUUGGCUCUGCUGGUGUCCAUGUCUGUCUGUUGUUGUUCCUGUGCUUAGCCAGUCCUCCAUGUUUGUCACCCCUCACAGAUCAAUCAGCUCCUGGCUCGCGUUCAGGACCACCAGGGUGCCAAAGGAAGAGGCAAGGCCAAGGGCAGGGUGAGAUAGACAGGCGUAUCAGCGAGAG